GGGACACGUGGUAUCCUGUCUGAAUAUGGGGGGACCAUCCUCCAAGGCUAAAUACUCCUGACUGACCGAUAGUGAACCAGUACCGUGAGGGAAAGGCGAAAAGAACCCCGGCGAGGGGAGUGAAAAAGAACCUGAAACCGUGUACGUACAAGCAGUGGGAGCACGCUUAGGCGUGUGACUGCGUACCUUUUGUAUAAUGGGUCAGCGACUUAUAUUCUGUAGCAAGGUUAACCGAAUAGGGGAGCCGAAGGGAAACCGAGUCUUAACUGGGCGUUAAGUUGCAGGGUAUAGACCCGAAACCCGGUGAUCUAGCCAUGGGCAGGUUGAAGGUUGGGUAACACUAACUGGAGGACCGAACCGACUAAUGUUGAAAAAUUAGCGGAUGACUUGUGGCUGGGGGUGAAAGGCCAAUCAAACCGGGAGAUAGCUGGUUCUCCCCGAAAGCUAUUUAGGUAGCGCCUCGUGAAUUCAUCUCCGGGGGUAGAGCACUGUUUCGGCAAGGGGGUCAUCCCGACUUACCAACCCGAUGCAAACUGCGAAUACCGGAGAAUGUUAUCACGGGAGACACACGGCGGGUGCUAACGUCCGUCGUGAAGAGGGAAACAACCCAGACCGCCAGCUAAGGUCCCAAAGUCAUGGUUAAGUGGGAAACGAUGUGGGAAGGCCCAGACAGCCAGGAUGUUGGCUUAGAAGCAGCCAUCAUUUAAAGAAAGCGUAAUAGCUCACUGGUCGAGUCGGCCUGCGCGGAAGAUGUAACGGGGCUAAACCAUGCACCGAAGCUGCGGCAGCGACGCUUAUGCGUUGUUGGGUAGGGGAGCGUUCUGUAAGCCUGUGAAGGUGUACUGUGAGGUAUGCUGGAGGUAUCAGAAGUGCGAAUGCUGACAUAAGUAACGAUAAAGCGGGUGAAAAGCCCGCUCGCCGGAAGACCAAGGGUUCCUGUCCAACGUUAAUCGGGGCAGGGUGAGUCGACCCCUAAGGCGAGGCCGAAAGGCGUAGUCGAUGGGAAACAGGUUAAUAUUCCUGUACUUGGUGUUACUGCGAAGGGGGGACGGAGAAGGCUAUGUUGGCCGGGCGACGGUUGUCCCGGUUUAAGCGUGUAGGCUGGUUUUCCAGGCAAAUCCGGAAAAUCAAGGCUGAGGCGUGAUGACGAGGCACUACGGUGCUGAAGCAACAAAUGCCCUGCUUCCAGGAAAAGCCUCUAAGCAUCAGGUAACAUCAAAUCGUACCCCAAACCGACACAGGUGGUCAGGUAGAGAAUACCAAGGCGCUUGAGAGAACUCGGGUGAAGGAACUAGGCAAAAUGGUGCCGUAACUUCGGGAGAAGGCACGCUGAUACGUAGGUGAAGUCCCUCGCGGAUGGAGCUGAAAUCAGUCGAAGAUACCAGCUGGCUGCAACUGUUUAUUAAAAACACAGCACUGUGCAAACACGAAAGUGGACGUAUACGGUGUGACGCCUGCCCGGUGCCGGAAGGUUAAUUGAUGGGGUCAGCGCAAGCGAAGCUCUUGAUCGAAGCCCCGGUAAACGGCGGCCGUAACUAUAACGGUCCUAAGGUAGCGAAAUUCCUUGUCGGGUAAGUUCCGACCUGCACGAAUGGCGUAAUGAUGGCCAGGCUGUCUCCACCCGAGACUCAGUGAAAUUGAACUCGCUGUGAAGAUGCAGUGUACCCGCGGCAAGACGGAAAGACCCCGUGAACCUUUACUAUAGCUUGACACUGAACAUUGAGCCUUGAUGUGUAGGAUAGGUGGGAGGCUUUGAAGUGUGGACGCCAGUCUGCAUGGAGCCGACCUUGAAAUACCACCCUUUAAUGUUUGAUGUUCUAACGUUGACCCGUGAUCCGGGUUGCGGACAGUGUCUGGUGGGUAGUUUGACUGGGGCGGUCUCCUCCUAAAGAGUAACGGAGGAGCACGAAGGUUGGCUAAUCCUGGUCGGACAUCAGGAGGUUAGUGCAAUGGCAUAAGCCAGCUUGACUGCGAGCGUGACGGCGCGAGCAGGUGCGAAAGCAGGUCAUAGUGAUCCGGUGGUUCUGAAUGGAAGGGCCAUCGCUCAACGGAUAAAAGGUACUCCGGGGAUAACAGGCUGAUACCGCCCAAGAGUUCAUAUCGACGGCGGUGUUUGGCACCUCGAUGUCGGCUCAUCACAUCCUGGGGCUGAAGUAGGUCCCAAGGGUAUGGCUGUUCGCCAUUUAAAGUGGUACGCGAGCUGGGUUUAGAACGUCGUGAGACAGUUCGGUCCCUAUCUGCCGUGGGCGCUGGAGAACUGAGGGGGGCUGCUCCUAGUACGAGAGGACCGGAGUGGACGCAUCACUGGUGUUCGGGUUGUCAUGCCAAUGGCACUGCCCGGUAGCUAAAUGCGGAAGAGAUAAGUGCUGAAAGCAUCUAAGCACGAAACUUGCCCCGAGAUGAGUUCUCCCUGACUCCUUGAGAGUCCUGAAGGAACGUUGAAGACGACGACGUUGAUAGGCCGGGUGUGUAAGCGCAGCGAUGCGUUGAGCUAACCGGUACUAAUGAACCGUGAG
rnacentral:rRNA from 1 species